CCUACGGGAGGCAGCAGUGGGGAAUCUUGCGCAAUGGGCGAAAGCCUGACGCAGCGACGCCGCGUGCGGGAAGAAGGCCUUCGGGUUGUAAACCGUUUUCAGGAGGGACGAAGCCACUCGGGUUAAUAGCCCAGAGGGUGACGGUACCUCCAGAAGAAGCCCCGGCUAACUACGUGCCAGCAGCCGCGGUAAU
rnacentral:rRNA from 1 species